rnacentral:rRNA from 1 species
ACUCCUACGGGGAGGCAGCAGUGGGGAAUAUUGCACAAUGGGCGCAAGCCUGAUGCAGCCAUGCCGCGUGUAUGAAGAAGGCCUUCGGGUUGUAAAGUACUUUCAGCAGUGAGGAAGGUGGAUAUGUUAAUAGCAUAUUCAUUUGACGUUAGCUGCAGAAGAAGCACCGGCUAACUCCGUGCCAGCAGCCGCGGUAAUACGGAGGGUGCGAGCGUUAAUCGGAAUUACUGGGCGUAAAGCGCAUGCAGGUGGUUUGUUAAGUCAGAUGUGAAAGCCCGGGGCUCAACCUCGGAAUUGCAUUUGAAACUGGCAAACUAGAGUACUGUAGAGGGGGGUAGAAUUUCAGGUGUAGCGGUGAAAUGCGUAGAGAUCUGAAGGAAUACCGGUGGCGAAGGCGGCCCCCUGGACAGAUACUGACACUCAGAUGCGAAAGCGUGGGGAGCAAACAGGAUUAGAUACCCUGGUAGGCUCU